ACUAUUUUGGCAGAAAAUUGUGAUGAUUUUAGAAUUCAUUUAUGUAUAGUUUAUAAUAUAUAGGUAGUA
rnacentral:tRNA from 1 species